CUCAGACAGCUAAGCGAUUUGCCAGGGCUGUGCAACCCAUCUGUGAUUCUCCGUUGGGAAGUGUGUUUCUAGGUACAUAAAAACGAGCUAUUUUUCUGAAGGUCAAGUAUACACCAUGUUUAUACGUGACUACCUGGUGCAGCUGAGCAAUAUUGACUUUGAUGCAAAAAGACCACAGUCAGGCCUUGGGAGGAUUUCUCAUUAGCUGUAUGCUCUGGUGGGUACCCAGAUCCCCCUUUCAGAACCGAGGCACUAUUUCCCCACCUACUGGAAGUGUUGUCUGCUGAUGACUCACGGCUAAGUCCCUCUACUGGACUUGACUGCUGGUGCAGGAAGCUGCCCUCUCCAAGGAGAAGAGAUAGACUAGAAUCCUCGAGGACCUGCUCCCAGAGAACAUUUGGAGAUGUCCUAAGACAAUUGGCUAUGUGGAUAGGGAGAUCUGGUUUAGGGACCAUAUCAUACAGACAGUAGAAGCCAUGGAUGAUCUCAUUCCAGGAGCACAUAUACAGUGGGAAGAGAAUGAAGCUGAAGACAAUUCCAGCUCCAAAGAUAGUGACAAGAGCUGUUCAUCUUCAUCAUCCUCUCUGUAGGCAUCUUGAAUUAGAAGAUACUAUUUAGUGUGGUCUCUUACCCAAGAUAAAUAAUCUAAGUUUCCGUAAUCUUUC
rnacentral:lncRNA from 10 species